GGUUGCUGGAGGUAUCAGAAGUGCGAAUGCUGACAUAAGUAACGAUAAAGCGGGUGAAAAGCCCGCUCGCCGGAAGACCAAGGGUUCCUGUCCAACGUUAAUCGGGGCAGGGUGAGUCGACCCCUAAGGCGAGGCCGAAAGGCGUAGUCGAUGGGAAACGGGUUAAUAUUCCCGUACUUGGUGUUACUGCGAAGGGGGGACGGAGAAGGCUAUGUUGGCCGGGCGACGGUUGUCCCGGUUUAAGCGUGUAGGUGUGUGUUCCAGGUAAAUCCGGUUCACUUUAACACUGAGGCGUGACGACGAGGCACUACGGUGCUGAAGCAACAAAUGCCCUGCUUCCAGGAAAAGCCUCUAAGCAUCAGGUAACAUCAAAUCGUACCCCAAACCGACACAGGUGGUCAGGUAGAGAAUACCAAGGCGCUUGAGAGAACUCGGGUGAAGGAACUAGGCAAAAUGGUGCCGUAACUUCGGGAGAAGGCACGCUGACACGUAGGUGAAGUGAUUUACUCAUGGAGCUGAAGUCAGUCGAAGAUACCAGCUGGCUGCAACUGUUUAUUAAAAACACAGCACUGUGCAAACACGAAAGUGGACGUAUACGGUGUGACGCCUGCCCGGUGCCGGAAGGUUAAUUGAUGGGGUCAGCGCAAGCGAAGCUCCUGAUCGAAGCCCCGGUAAACGGCGGCCGUAACUAUAACGGUCCUAAGGUAGCGAAAUUCCUUGUCGGGUAAGUUCCGACCUGCACGAAUGGCGUAAUGAUGGCCAGGCUGUCUCCACCCGAGACUCAGUGAAAUUGAACUCGCUGUGAAGAUGCAGUGUACCCGCGGCAAGACGGAAAGACCCCGUGAACCUUUACUAUAGCUUGACACUGAACAUUGAGCCUUGAUGUGUAGGAUAGGUGGGAGGCUUUGAAGUGUGGACGCCAGUCUGCAUGGAGCCGACCUUGAAAUACCACCCUUUAAUGUUUGAUGUUCUAACGUGGACCCGUUACCCGGGUUGCGGACAGUGUCUGGUGGGUAGUUUGACUGGGGCGGUCUCCUCCUAAAGAGUAACGGAGGAGCACGAAGGUUGGCUAAUCCUGGUCGGACAUCAGGAGGUUAGUGCAAUGGCAUAAGCCAGCUUGACUGCGAGCGUGACGGCGCGAGCAGGUGCGAAAGCAGGUCAUAGUGAUCCGGUGGUUCUGAAUGGAAGGGCCAUCGCUCAACGGAUAAAAGGUACUCCGGGGAUAACAGGCUGAUACCGCCCAAGAGUUCAUAUCGACGGCGGUGUUUGGCACCUCGAUGUCGGCUCAUCACAUCCUGGGGCUGAAGUAGGUCCCAAGGGUAUGGCUGUUCGCCAUUUAAAGUGGUACGCGAGCUGGGUUUAGAACGUCGUGAGACAGUUCGGUCCCUAUCUGCCGUGGGCGCUGGAGAACUGAGGGGGGCUGCUCCUAGUACGAGAGGACCGGAGUGGACGCAUCACUGGUGUUCGGGUUGUCAUGCCAAUGGCACUGCCCGGUAGCUAAAUGCGGAAGAGAUAAGUGCUGAAAGCAUCUAAGCACGAAACUUGCCCCGAGAUGAGUUCUCCCUGAGACUUUAGGUCUCCUGAAGGAACGUUGAAGACGACGACGUUGAUAGGCCGGGUGUGUAAGCGCAGCGAUGCGUUGAGCUAACCGGUACUAAUGAACCGUGAGGCUUAACCUUACAACGCCG
rnacentral:rRNA from 1 species